GCUGGAGAUAGAGCUCAGUGGGUAGAGUGCUUGCCUUGCAUGCACAAGGCCCUGGGUUCAAUCCUCAGCAGCA
rnacentral:tRNA from 1 species